GGACGCUUAGCUCAGUUGGUCUAGAGCGUCUGCCUUACAAGCAGAAGGUCACUGGUUCGACUCCAGUAGCGUCCACAA
rnacentral:tRNA from 1 species